rnacentral:rRNA from 1 species
ACAUGCAGUCGAGCGCACCUUCGGGUGAGCGGCGGACGGGUUAGUAACGCGUGGGAAUAUGCCCAGAUCUACGGAAUAGCCUCGGGAAACUGAGAGUAAUACCGUAUACGCCCUUCGGGGGAAAGAUUUAUCGGAUUUGGAUUAGUCCGCGUUGGAUUAGGUAGUUGGUGGGGUAAUGGCCUACCAAGCCUACGAUCCAUAGCUGGUUUGAGAGGAUGAUCAGCAACACUGGGACUGAGACACGGCCCAGACUCCUACGGGAGGCAGCAGUGGGGAAUCUUAGACAAUGGGGGAAACCCUGAUCUAGCCAUGCCGCGUGAGUAACGAAGGCCCUAGGGUCGUAAAGCUCUUUCGCCAGGGAAGAUAAUGACGGUACCUGGUAAAGAAACCCCGGCUAACUCCGUGCCAGCAGCCGCGGUAAUACGGAGGGGGUUAGCGUUGUUCGGAAUUACUGGGCGUAAAGCGCACGUAGGCGGAUUAGUCAGUCAGAGGUGAAAU